rnacentral:rRNA from 1 species
ACGGGGGGUGCAAGCGUUGUUCGGAAUUAUUGGGCGUAAAGCGCGUGUAGGCGGUUUGUUAAGUGUGAUGUGAAAGCCCCGGGCUCAACCUGGGAAGGGCAUUGGAAACUGGCAGACUUGAAUGCGGGAGAGGGUAGUGGAAUUCCUGGUGUAGCGGUGAAAUCCGUAGAUAUCAGGAGGAACACCAGUGGCGAAGGCGACUUCCUGGACUGUUACUGACGCUGAGACGCGAAAGCGUGGGGAGCAAACAG